UGUAACUCUCAUGUUUGUUGUCAGUUG
rnacentral:sRNA from 1 species